GCGGGUGUGGCGAAAUUGGCAGACGCGUCAGACUUAGGAUCUGAUGCCGAAAGGCGUGGGGGUUCGAGUCCCUUCAUCCGCA
rnacentral:tRNA from 1 species